rnacentral:rRNA from 1 species
GACGAACGCUGGCGGCGUGCCUAAUACAUGCAAGUAGAACGCUGAAGGAGGAGCUUGCUUCUCUGGAUGAGUUGCGAACGGGUGAGUAACGCGUAGGUAACCUGCCUGGUAGCGGGGGAUAACUAUUGGAAACGAUAGCUAAUACCGCAUAAUAGUAGAUGUUGCAUGACAUUUGCUUAAAAGGUGCAAUUGCAUCACUACCAGAUGGACCUGCGUUGUAUUAGCUAGUUGGUGGGGUAACGGCUCACCAAGGCGACGAUACAUAGCCGACCUGAGAGGGUGAUCGGCCACACUGGGACGGAGACACGGCCCAGACUCCUACGGGAGGCAGCAGUAGGGAAUCUUCGGCAAUGGACGGAAGUCUGACCGAGCAACGCCGCGUGAGUGAAGAAGGUUUUCGGAUCGUAAAGCUCGGUUGUAAGAGAAGAACGAGUGUGAGAGUGGAAAGUUCACACUGUGACGGUAUCUUACCAGAAAGGGACGGCUAACUACGUG